rnacentral:rRNA from 1 species
AGCAAACGCUGGCGGCGUGCCUAAUACAUGCAAGUCGAACGAGGAAAGCUUUCGGGUGAGUACUAGUGGCGCACGGGUGAGUAACGCGUGGGUAAUCUACCAUCGAGUGGGGAAUAACUAAUCGAAAGAUUAGCUAAUACCGCAUAAGACCACAGAAGCUACGGCUUCAGAGGUCAAAGGAGCAAUUCGCUUGAUGAUGAGCCCGCGUCGGAUUAGCUAGUUGGUAGGGUAAUGGCCUACCAAGGCAGUGAUCCGUAGCUGGUCUGAGAGGAUGAUCAGCCACACUGGAACUGAGACACGGUCCAGACUCCUACGGGAGGCAGCAGUAGGGAAUAUUGCGCAAUGGGGGGAAACCCUGACGCAGCGACGCCGCGUGAGUGAUGAAGGCCUUGGGUCGUAAAGCUCUGUUGCAAGGGAAUAAGAAAGUGAAUGUACCUUGUGAGGAAGGAUCGGCUAACUUCGUGCCAGCAGCCGCGGUAAU